GGGUUGUGAGGUUAAGCGACUAAGCGUACACGGUGGAUGCCCUGGCAGUCAGAGGCGAUGAAGGACGUGCUAAUCUGCGAAAAGCGUCGGUAAGGUGAUAUGAACCGUUAUAGCCGGCGAUGUCCGAAUGGGGAAACCCAGUGUGAUUCGUCACACUAUCGUUAACUGAAUACAUAGGUUAACGAGGCGAACCGGGGGAACUGAAACAUCUAAGUACCCCGAGGAAAAGAAAUCAACCGAGAUUCCCCCAGUAGCGGCGAGCGAACGGGGAGCAGCCCAGAGUCUGAAUCAGCUUGUGUGUUAGUGGAACGGUCUGGAAAGUCCGACGGUACAGGGUGAUAGUCCCGUACACCAAAAUGCACAGGUUGUGAACUCGAAGAGUAGGGCGGGACACGUGGUAUCCUGUCUGAAUAUGGGGGGACCAUCCUCCAAGGCUAAAUACUCCUGACUGACCGAUAGUGAACCAGUACCGUGAGGGAAAGGCGAAAAGAACCCCGGCGAGGGGAGUGAAAAAGAACCUGAAACCGUGUACGUACAAGCAGUGGGAGCACCUUCGGGUGUGACUGCGUACCUUUUGUAUAAUGGGUCAGCGACUUAUAUUCUGUAGCAAGGUUAACCGUAUAGGGGAGCCGCAGGGAAACCGAGUCUUAACUGGGCGUUAAGUUGCAGGGUAUAGACCCGAAACCCGGUGAUCUAGCCAUGGGCAGGUUGAAGGUUGGGUAACACUAACUGGAGGACCGAACCGACUAAUGUUGAAAAAUUAGCGGAUGACUUGUGGCUGGGGGUGAAAGGCCAAUCAAACCGGGAGAUAGCUGGUUCUCCCCGAAAGCUAUUUAGGUAGCGCCUCGUGAACUCAUCUUCGGGGGUAGAGCACUGUUUCGGCUAGGGGGUCAUCCCGACUUACCAACCCGAUGCAAACUACGAAUACCGAAGAAUGUUAUCACGGGAGACACACGGCGGGUGCUAACGUCCGUCGUGAAGAGGGAAACAACCCAGACCGCCAGCUAAGGUCCCAAAGUCACAGUUAAGUGGGAAACGAUGUGGGAAGGCACAGACAGCCAGGAUGUUGGCUUAGAAGCAGCCAUCAUUUAAAGAAAGCGUAAUAGCUCACUGGUCGAGUCGGCCUGCGCGGAAGAUGUAACGGGGCUAAACUGUGCACCGAAGCUGCGGCAGCGACACUAUGUGUUGUUGGGUAGGGGAGCGUUCUGUAAGCCUGCGAAGGUGGCCUGUGAGGGUUGCUGGAGGUAUCAGAAGUGCGAAUGCUGACAUAAGUAACGAUAAUGCGGGUGAAAAGCCCGCACGCCGGAAGACCAAGGGUUCCUGUCCAACGUUAAUCGGGGCAGGGUGAGUCGACCCCUAAGGCGAGGCCGAAAGGCGUAGUCGAUGGGAAACAGGUUAAUAUUCCUGUACUUGGUGUUACUGCGAAGGGGGGACGGAGAAGGCUAUGUUAGCCGGGCGACGGUUGUCCCGGUUUAAGCAUGUAGGCGGAGGUUCCAGGUAAAUCCGGUACCUUUUAACGCUGAGGUGUGAUGACGAGGCACUACGGUGCUGAAGUAACAAAUGCCCUGCUUCCAGGAAAAGCCUCUAAGCAUCAGGUAACAUCAAAUCGUACCCCAAACCGACACAGGUGGUCAGGUAGAGAAUACCAAGGCGCUUGAGAGAACUCGGGUGAAGGAACUAGGCAAAAUGGUGCCGUAACUUCGGGAGAAGGCACGCUGAUAUGUAGGUGAAGCCCCUGCGGGUGGAGCUGAAAUCAGUCGAAGAUACCAGCUGGCUGCAACUGUUUAUUAAAAACACAGCACUGUGCAAACACGAAAGUGGACGUAUACGGUGUGACGCCUGCCCGGUGCCGGAAGGUUAAUUGAUGGGGUUAUCCGUAAGGAGAAGCUCUUGAUCGAAGCCCCGGUAAACGGCGGCCGUAACUAUAACGGUCCUAAGGUAGCGAAAUUCCUUGUCGGGUAAGUUCCGACCUGCACGAAUGGCGUAAUGAUGGCCAGGCUGUCUCCACCCGAGACUCAGUGAAAUUGAACUCGCUGUGAAGAUGCAGUGUACCCGCGGCAAGACGGAAAGACCCCGUGAACCUUUACUAUAGCUUGACACUGAACAUUGAGCCUUGAUGUGUAGGAUAGGUGGGAGGCUUUGAAGCGUGGACGCCAGUCUGCGUGGAGCCAACCUUGAAAUACCACCCUUUAAUGUUUGAUGUUCUAACGUUGGCCCCUAAUCGGGGUUGCGGACAGUGUCUGGUGGGUAGUUUGACUGGGGCGGUCUCCUCCCAAAGAGUAACGGAGGAGCACGAAGGUUAGCUAAUCCUGGUCGGACAUCAGGAGGUUAGUGCAAUGGCAUAAGCUAGCUUGACUGCGAGCGUGACGGCGCGAGCAGGUGCGAAAGCAGGUCAUAGUGAUCCGGUGGUUCUGAAUGGAAGGGCCAUCGCUCAACGGAUAAAAGGUACUCCGGGGAUAACAGGCUGAUACCGCCCAAGAGUUCAUAUCGACGGCGGUGUUUGGCACCUCGAUGUCGGCUCAUCACAUCCUGGGGCUGAAGUAGGUCCCAAGGGUAUGGCUGUUCGCCAUUUAAAGUGGUACGCGAGCUGGGUUUAGAACGUCGUGAGACAGUUCGGUCCCUAUCUGCCGUGGGCGCUGGAGAAUUGAGGGGGGCUGCUCCUAGUACGAGAGGACCGGAGUGGACGCAUCACUGGUGUUCGGGUUGUCAUGCCAAUGGCAUUGCCCGGUAGCUAAAUGCGGAAGAGAUAAGUGCUGAAAGCAUCUAAGCACGAAACUUGCCCCGAGAUGAGUUCUCCCUGAGACUUUAAGUCUCCUGAAGGAACGUUAAAGACGAUGACGUUGAUAGGUCGGGUGUGUAAGCGUAGCGAUACGUUGAGCUAACCGAUACUAAUGAACCGUGAGGCUUAACCUUACAACGCCGAAGCUGUU
rnacentral:rRNA from 1 species